CCUACGGGAGACAGCAGUGGGGAAUAUUGGGCAAUGGGCGCAAGCCUGACCCAGCAACGCCGCGUGAAGGAAGAAGGCUUUCGGGUUGUAAACUUCUUUUUUCAGGGACGAAGCAAGUGACGGUACCUGACGAAUAAGCCACUGCUAACUACGUGCCAGCCGCCGCGGUAAUACGUAGGUGGCACGCGUUAUCCGGAUUUACUGGGUGUAAAGGGCGUGUAGGCGGGGAAGCAAGUCAGAUGUGAAAACCACGGGCUCAACCUGUGGCCUGCAUUUGAAACUGUUUUUCUUGAGUGCUGGGGAGGCAAUCGGAAUUCCGUGUGUAGCGGUGAAAUGCGUAGAUAUACGGAGGAACACCAGUGGCGAAGGCGGAUUGCUGGACAGUAACUGACGCUGAGGCGCGAAAGCGUGGGGAGCAAACAGGAUUAGAUACCCCAGUAGUC
rnacentral:rRNA from 1 species